UACGGGGGGGGCAAGCGUUGUUCGGAAUUACUGGGCGUAAAGGGCGCGUAGGCGGCCUUCUAAGUCGGACGUGAAAUCCCUCGGCUUAACCGAGGAACUGCGUCCGAUACUGAAAGGCUUGAAUCCGGGAGAGGGAUGUGGAAUUCCAGGUGUAGCGGUGAAAUGCGCAGAUAUCAGGAAGAACACCCGUGACGAAGGCGGCUCUCUGGGACGGUACUGACGCUGAGACGCGAAAGCGUGGGGAGCGAACAGG
rnacentral:rRNA from 1 species